GAUGAACGCUGGCGGCGUGCCUAAUACGUGCAAGUCGAGCGAACGGACGAGAAGCUUGCUUCUCUGAUGUUAGCGGCGGACGGGUGAGUAACACGUGGAUAACCUACCUAUAAGACUGGGAUAACUUCGGGAAACCGGAGCUAAUACCGGAUAAUAUUUUGAACCGCAUGGUCCAAAAGUGAAAGACGGUCUUGCUGUCACUUAUAGAUGGAUCCGCGCUGCAUUAGCUAGUUGGUAAGGUAACGGCUUACCAAGGCAACGAUGCAUAGCCGACCUGAGAGGGUGAUCGGCCACACUGGAACUGAGACACGGUCCAGACUCCUACGGGAGGCAGCAGUAGGGAAUCUUCCGCAAUGGGCGAAAGCCUGACGGAGCAACGCCGCGUGAGUGAUGAAGGUCUUCGGAUCGUAAAACUCUGUUAUUAGGGAAGAACAUAUGUGUAAGUAACUGUGCACAUCUUGACGGUACCUAAUCAGAAAGCCACGGCUAACUACGUG
rnacentral:rRNA from 1 species